UCAUGAUUUAGCCAGAAAAUCUCAAGCAAAGAGCACUUUAGUUUGAUUCCCCGAAACUACGUGAGCUACUCCAAGACAGCCUAACAUAGGGCAAACCCGUCUCUGUGGCAAAAGAGUGGGAAGAGCUUUGAGUAGAGGUGACAGACCUACCGAACCUAGUUAUAGCUGGUUGCCUGAGAAAUGAAUAGAAGUUCAGCCUAUCGGAUUCUUCCCUCACCUUUAUAUUUUUUACAACAACCAAAAGAAACCGAAAGAGUUAGUCAAAGGGGGUACAGCCCCUUUGACACAAGACACAACUUUUCCAGGAGGGUAAAGAUCAUACUCAAACACCAAGGUAAGAUGUUUUGGUCGGCCUAAAAGCAGCCACCCCUACAGAAUGCGUUAAAGCUCAAACAUACCUACCACCCAUAAUCCUGACAACCCUAUCUUAACCCCCUAACCCUACCAGGCCAUCCCAUGCAAACAUGGGAGUGACCAUGCUAAUAUGAGUAAUAAGAGAGCAUUAGCCUCUCUCCCUGCAC
rnacentral:rRNA from 1 species